rnacentral:rRNA from 1 species
CCUACGGGAGGCAGCAGUGGGGAAUAUUGCACAAUGGGGGAAACCCUGAUGCAGCGACGCCGCGUGAGUGAAGAAGUAAUUCGUUAUGUAAAGCUCUAUCAGCAGGGAAGAAAAUGACGGUACCUGAGUAAGAAGCCCCGGCUAACUACGUGCCAGCAGCCGCGGUAAUAAGUAGGGGGCAAGCGUUAUCCGGAUUUACUGGGUGUAAAGGGAGAGUAGACGGCAGUGCAAGUCUGGAGUGAAAGGCGGGGGCUCAACCCCCGGACUGCUCUGGAAACUGUACGGCUGGAGUGCAGGAGAGGUAAGUGGAAUUCCUAGUGUAGCGGUGAAAUGCGUAGAUAUUAGGAGGAACACCAGUGGCGAAGGCGGCUUACUGGACUGUAACUGACGUUGAGGCUCGAAAGCGUGGGGAGCAAACAGGAUUAGAUACCCCAGUAGUC